GGCAACGUGGCCGAGCGGUCUAAGGCGCCACGUUAAGGUUCAUCCUUAAUACCUCCCUAUUGUUGAAUAUCUAUUAAAUGAUAGUGGUUUUCUCAUCCGUGGUCCGAAAGGGCGUGAGUUCGAAUCUCACCGUUGUCA